GACGAACGCUGGCGGCAUGCCUAACACAUGCAAGUCGAACGAAGGCUUCGGCCUUAGUGGCGCACGGGUGCGUAACGCGUGGGAAUCUGCCCUCAGGUACGGAAUAACUCAGGGAAACUUGAGCUAAUACCGUAUAAUGACUUCGGUCCAAAGAUUUAUCGCCUGAGGAUGAGCCCGCGUCGGAUUAGCUAGUUGGUGAGGUAAAGGCUCACCAAGGCGACGAUCCGUAGCUGGUCUGAGAGGAUGAUCAGCCACACUGGGACUGAGACACGGCCCAGACUCCUACGGGAGGCAGCAGUGGGGAAUAUUGGACAAUGGGCGCAAGCCUGAUCCAGCAAUGCCGCGUGAGUGAUGAAGGCCUUAGGGUUGUAAAGCUCUUUUACCCGGGAAGAUAAUGACUGUACCGGGAGAAUAAGCCCCGGCUAACUCCGUGCCAGCCGCCGCGGUAA
rnacentral:rRNA from 1 species